GACACGUCUGGCAGUGCAGGAUUUGAGUCCCUGGUGGCGCAUUGUGUUCCUGAUAGUAGCCUUUGUUACUGUGGUCCCAGCUCUCUGUAGGUCAUUCACUAGGUCCCCCCGUGUGGUUCUGGGAUUUUUGCUCACCGUUCUUGUUAUCAUUUUGACGCCACGGGGUGAGAUCUUGCUUGGAGCCCCUGAUCGAGGGAGAUUAUCAGUAGUCUUGUAUGUCUUCCAUUUUCUAAUAAUUGCUCCCACAGUUGAUUUCUUUACACCAAGCGUUUUACCUAUUGCAGAUUCAGUCUUCCCAGCCUGGUGCAGGUCUACAAUAUUGUCUCUGGUGUCGUUGAACAGCUCUUUGGUCUUGGCCAUAGUGGAGUUUGGAGUGUGACUGACUGAGAUUGUGGACAGGUGCCAUUAAUACAGUAACAAUAACUAGGACCCACAGCAGCCAUUGAGGGCCGGUUUGGAGACCCCUGUUCUGGAGCAAAGCCUUUUUAAAUCCGCCUGCGAUUUGUGACUGGGACGAAGGUUCGCCUUCCAGCAGGCCAAUAACCCGAAGCAUACUGAUCAAGCUACACUUGAAUGGUUUAAGGAAAAGAAGUUAAAAGCAUUCAUUAGAGUGGCUUCAUCAAAGCUCGGACCCCAAUCCAAUUGAAAAUCUCUGGUUUGACUUGAACACAUACACUCACAAGUGGAUACCAUUCAACUCGGACGAGUUGGAGAAGUUUUACCAUGAGGCAAAAAUCCCAAUUGCAAGAUGUUGCAAUAAAGACUCAUCAGACGUGACUUACAGUUGUAAUCGCUGCCAAAGAUGCCUCUACAAAGUACUGACUUUCAGGGGAGUGAAUAAUAUUGCACAUUGAAGUUUUUGUUUGUUGGCCUUGUUGUUUGCUUCACAAAAAAAAAAACAACAACAACAACAAAAAAAACCAAUGAAUGUUUCUAGUGCUGCAAUGAUUAAUCGAUUAACUCGAGUAUUCGAUUAGGAAAAAAAAAGAUUCAAAAUGAAUUUUGCUGCUUCGAGUAUUCGUUUAUUUAAAUUGGCGUUGUGAUGGUUUGUUUUGAAAGUGUUUGCAUUUAGUUUUAUUGAAUUGGGUGGAUACACUGCCUCAUUUCACAUGGUUGAAUCCAGCUGCUCCCUAUUAAGACCAAUAUAACCCAUAACCUAACCUAAAUUUUUGUUUGAGCUAAUUUAUUUAAUGCAUUCGUAAUUUAGUUUAUAGGUAUACUUUUCCUUUUUAUGCGGGAAUAUGUGUCCCAACCAUUUGUUAAGAGCAGUGUAUAAAAAAAAAACAACAACUGCGUUUUAUAGCACUUAAACUGGCAGAUUUUUGCUAUGCAAGUUAGCCAAUUGUUCUUUUGCUGUCCAUAGAUCCUUGUUUAUUUAUCUUUUUAUAGCGUUUGAGGCUCAGCUAAGGUAUUUUGAUUUUUCAUGUUCCUCAUCCGAUUACUUGCUUAUUCGAACUAACUAGUUUCGACUACUAAAAUAAUCGCUAGCUACAGCCCUAAAUGUUUCACAUCUAGAGUUGUUGCCAUGUUCUGUACAUGAAAUGCUGCAAAUGCUCAAACGAUACAAUUUAAUACCAGUUUCUGAUUCUUUUAAACACUUGCUCUUUUUUACAUAAAUGAAAAUAAUAAUUAAAUCAAUGGCUGCCAUUUAUAAUGAUAGACGUCCAAUCCAUUUGAACUGGGAGGGCUGGCAGCCAUAAUGACAAACUAUUUAAGAAAGAGCAAAAGAGCCACAUGAUUGGACAUCCACCAUUGUCAAUGGGUGCCAGUGAGUUAAAAAUAAAACUUUUCGGGGUGAACAAGGUUAGUUAUUUACUGUACCUUUCCAUUUCCUUUUGGUCUUCAAAGGCACUUCAUUCUUGUCACCGCCAUCCACGUCUGAAUCGUUGUCUGUAUCUGAUUCAGAGCGCCGAUUGUCAUUGUUUUCUCCUUUGGCAGGGGAGUUGCUUUCAUCGUGCACUCUCAUGUGAGCUACCAAUCGCUCUUGACUAAAGAAGUUUUUCCAACAAAGUUUGCAGGAAAAAAAUUUGGGACUCUUGUGCAGUUUCUCGUGUCUCAUCAUGUUGUGCUUGUAGCUAAAUCUUCGAUCACAAACGGAGCAAGCGAAGCCUUUGUCUUCCAUGUGGAUGAUCUCGUGAUUACUCAAACUCAGCUGAGUGGGAAACACUUUCCCACAUUGGGAACAGUUAAACGAGACAUCAUUGGGAUGAUUGAACAUAUUUUUGGUCUCCAAAGAUUGAACAUGGCGGCCGUUGACGUCAGAAGAGUUUGACUUCUGAUCUUGACUGCGCGCGCUGUCAGUUUGUUGUUUGCAUGCUUUUUUUAGGGAGCCCCGUAGCACACUCUUCGGUAAGACUUUUCUCUGAACUGAGCUGUCUUGCUUGUUAUGUAGUUCCUGGUGUUUCAACAUAUGACGCUUGAGGGAAAAUUUUCUAUCGCAAACCUGACAAGCAAAACCUUUGUGCAUUACCAUGUGGGCAAAAAAUUUGCGUCUGGUGAGAAAGAUUUUCCCGCAAUGAGUACAUUUAAACUCUUUUGCAUGAAUUAGCAUGUGUCUCUUCAGGUGAUGCUUCCAUUUGAAUUUCUUAUCACAAACUGAACAAGCAUUCCCAUGUGAUAACAUGUGACUUUCCAAAAGAGUUUUGCUGUGUAGUAUACUCUCACAUAUGGAGCACUUGAAUACAGACCUUUUGACAUCUACAGUUUUACUUUUUGGUUCUUUGGCAUCGCUUAUAUUCGACGGCAGAGCUGAGUUGGCGUCAGCUUCGUCAUUUUCCUCGUAUGUUUGCUUCACAAAAUCCUUCAAGGAGUAUCUUCUAACAGAGCGAGGAGCAAGUUUUUCUUCCGCCACGUGUGUUAGCAUGUGAUUUUUCAAACCUUUUUUGCUGUAAAAUGUUUUCUCACAUUGCAAGCAGUUAAAAUCAUCGCAGUCUUGGCUUGACCUCUGAUCAACAUCGAAGUUUUCAUCAGUUUCCGCAGGUUUUUUGGCUUUGUCGGAGUGGACAAUGUCAUCGGUAUGCGGUUUUUCACUUCCUGAGUUCUUAUUAAUCCUCUCAGUGUCGCAGUUUUUAUCACUUUCUGCAGGUUUUUUGGCGUCGUCCCUCUUGACCGCUUCAUCGGCAUAUGUCGCACCACCUAUGGGGCCCCCUUUUGUCCGCUCUUUGUCAUUAUCGUCGCUGUCAUAUGUUUCGGAAGAGUCCGAUGUUAUAUCGUCCGGUUCCGAUAACGGCGCAAAGAGGCUCUCUGGUUCCGAAUGGACAUUUUCACAUUCUUCUUUUUUCACAUGGAAAACGGCGCUAUCAUUUUCUUCACUUUGAUUGCGCCCUGAGAAUGGAGGAAGCUGCUCAGCUUCGUUACUGCAUUCCACUUCCUCUUCUUCCUUUUUGAUGAACAGCGGUGGCACUUCCUGUUGCAUACCUACACCACACAGAAAGAAAAUAAAAAUUGACACUUUUGAAAUGCUGAUCCUGUAAACAUUGUAUACGGAAAUUAAUAAGGUGACCAAAUCUGAACAGGACUUUUUGAACAGGACAAAAAUGUUCCUCUUAGAUAUCUCAUGAUAUCGAGUCCUAAUCUGAUAUCUCGGAAAUGUAUUAUGAGGUAGGAAAAUCCCCAAAGAUUUGAAGAAAGCUAUUUCAACAUUAUAGCCACAUAAAAAGGCUAAGGCUCUUAGACUAGUAUAGCAUUGUUUUCAACGAAGCGAAAAAAAAAACACAACAUCCUUUUUUUUUUUCUCAAAUCAGUUAUGCAGCACAAAAUAGGGUUGCAAACAAACUACGUUUAAAUGAUAUUAUUGUAAAUAUUUU